CGAGGUGGUGCAUGGUUGUCGUCAGCUCGUGUCGUGAGAUGUUGGGUUAAGUCCCCGCAACGAGCGCAACCCUCGUCCUAUGUUGCCAGCGGGUCAUGCCGGGGACUCAUGGGAGACUGCCGGGGUCAACUCGGAGGAAGUGGGAUGACGUCAAAUCAUCAUGCCCCUUAUGUCUUGGGCUUCACGCAUGCUACAAUGGCCGGUACAAAGGGCUGCGAUACCGCGAGGUGGAGCGAAUCCCAGAAAGCCGGUCUCAGUUCGGAUUGGGGUCUGCAACUCGACCCCAUGAAGUCGGAGUCGCUAGUAAUCGCAGAUCAGCAACGCUGCGGUGAAUACGUUCCCGGGCCUU
rnacentral:rRNA from 1 species